CACUCUGCCGCCAAGAUGCC
rnacentral:misc_RNA from 1 species